GCUGGUUUCAGAUAAGGAGCUGGUAAUUGGCACAGUGCUGGUUUCAGACAAGGAGCUGGUAGGUGGUAUAGUGCUGGUUUUAGAUAAGGAGCUGGUAGUUGGAAUAGUGCUGGGUUCAGAUAAGGAGCUGGUAGUUGGAACAGCACUGGAUUCAGAUUGUGAGAUGGUAGUUGGCACAGUGCUGGUUUCAGUUAUAGAGUUGGUAGUUGGCAUAGUACUGGUUUUAGUUAUAGAGUUGGUAGUUGGCACAGUGCUGGUUUUAGUUAUAGAGUUGGUAGUUGGCAUAGUACUG